rnacentral:tRNA from 1 species
GUUGACGUGGCAGAGCCCGGUAAUUGCAAAAGGCCUAAGCCCUUUCUACAGGGGUUCAAAUCCCCUCCUCAACU